rnacentral:rRNA from 1 species
UACGUAGGGUGCAAGCGUUGUCCGGAAUUAUUGGGCGUAAAGAGCUCGUAGGCGGUCUGUCGCGUCUGCUGUGAAAACCUAAGGCUCAACCUUGGGCUUGCAGUGGGUACGGGCAGACUAGAGUGCGGUAGGGGUGACUGGAAUUCCUGGUGUAGCGGUGGAAUGCGCAGAUAUCAGGAGGAACACCGGUGGCGAAGGCGGGUCUCUGGGCCGAUACUGACGCUGAGGAGCGAAAGCGUGGGGAGCGAACAGG